CCGAGAAUAUUCGACAAUGGACGAAAGCCUGAUCGAGCGAUACCGCGUGGUGGAUGAAGCGAUUCGUCGCGUAAACAUCUUUUAUAGAGGAGGAAGUCAUUGACGUUACCCCAUGAAUAAGGGGCUCCUAACUCUGUGCCAGCAGGAGCGGUAAUACAGAGGCCCCAAGCGUUACCCGGAAUUACUGGGCGUAAAGAGUGCGUAGGUGGUCGUAUUAGUCGUCUGUUAAACCCCGGAGCUCAACCCCGGAUCUGCAGACGAAACGGCACGACUCGAGAGCGUGAGAGGUCUGUGGAACUCUGGGUGUAGGGGUGAAAUCCGUUGAUAUCCAGGGGAACACCGAAAGCGAAGGCAGCAGACUGGCGCGUUUCUGACACUCAAGCACGAAAGCGUGGGUAGCGAACGGGAUUAGAUACCCCCGUAGUCC
rnacentral:rRNA from 1 species